rnacentral:rRNA from 1 species
CACGUAGGGCGCAAGCGUUGCUCGGAUUUACUGGGCGUAAAGGGUCCGUAGGCGGGACUGUAAGUCGGGUGUGAAAUCUCGGAGCUUAACUCCGAAGCUGCGCUCGAUACUGCAGCCCUAGAGUACAGAAGAGGAGAGUGGAAUUCCCGGUGUAGCGGUGGAAUGCGUAGAUAUCGGGAGGAAUAUCGAUGGCGCAGACAGCUCUCUGGUCUGUAACUGACGCUGAGGGACGAAAGCGUGGGAAGCAAACAGGAUUAGAUACCCUGGUAGUCCACGCCGUAAACGAUGUAGGCUGGGUAUCGGAAGCACGGCUUUCGGUGCCGCAGGUAACCCGUUAAGCCUACCGCCUGGGGACUACGGCCGCAAGGUUGAA